GACGAACGCUGGCGGCGUGCUUAACACAUGCAAGUCGAACGGAAAGGCCCUGCUUUUGUGGGGUUCUCGAUUGGCGAACGGGUGAGUAACACGUGAGUAACCUGCCCUUGACUUUGGGAUAACUUCAGGAAACUGGGGCUAAUACCGGAUAGGAGCUCCUGCUGCAUGGUGGGGGUUGGAAAGUUUCGGCGGUUGGGGAUGGACUCGCGGCUUAUCAGCUUGUUGGUGGGGUAGGGGCUUACCAAGGCUUUGACGGGUGGCCGGCCUGAGAGGGUGACCGGCCACCUUGGGACUGAGAGACGGCCCAGUCUCCUACGGGAGGCAGCAGUGGGGAAUAUUGCGCAAUGGGCGGAAGUCUGAUGCAGCAACGCCGCGUGCGUGAUGACGGCUUACGGGUUGUGAACCGAUUUCGACUGAGACGAAGCGAGAGUGACGGUAAUGGGUAAGGAAGCACCGGCUAACUACGUG
rnacentral:rRNA from 1 species